rnacentral:rRNA from 1 species
AACGAACGCUGGCGGCGUGCCUAACACAUGCAAGUCGAGCGGAGACAUACGACGGAUAGGAAGUUUUCGGAUGGAAUUGAAGAUGUAUGUUUUAGCGGCGGACGGGUGAGUAACGCGUGAGCAACCUGUCCUUCACAGGGGGAUAACACAGCGAAAGUUGUACUAAUACCGCAUAAGACCACAGCGGGACAUCCCGCAGGGGUCAAAGGAGCAAUCCGGUGAAGGGUGGGCUCGCGUCCGAUUAGAUAGUUGGUGAGGUAACGGCCCACCAAGUCAACGAUCGGUAGCCGACCUGAGAGGGUGAUCGGCCACAUUGGGACUGAGACACGGCCCAAACUCC